AGUGGAAUCACUGGGUCAUGUGUCAGUUCUGUGUUUAAUUUUUUAGACUGUUUUCCAAAGUAGCUGCACCACUUUGCAUUCCCACCAGGAAU
rnacentral:miRNA from 1 species